rnacentral:rRNA from 1 species
UACAGAGGUCCCAAGCGUUGUUCGGAUUCACUGGGCGUAAAGGGUGCGUAGGUGGUCAGGUAAGUCCGAUGUGAAAUCUCCAGGCUCAACCUGGAAAUGGCAUUGGAUACUAUCUGGCUUGAGGAGUGGAGGGGGGACUGGAAUUCUCGGUGUAGCAGUGAAAUGCGUAGAUAUCGAGAGGAACACCAGUGGCGAAGGCGAGUCCCUGGACACUUCCUGACACUGAGGCACGAAAGCUAGGGGAGCAAACAGG